GCCGCGGUAGUAUAGCCCGGCCUAGUAUGUGGGCCUGUCGAGCCCAUGACCCGGGUUCAAAUCCCGGCCGCGACA
rnacentral:tRNA from 1 species